GACGAACGCUGGCGGCGUGCUUAACACAUGCAAGUCGAACGAUGCAGCCUAGCUUGCUAGGUGGAUUAGUGGCGAACGGGUGAGUAAUACGUGAGUAACCUACCUUUAACUCUGGGAUAAGCCUGGGAAACUGGGUCUAAUACCGGAUACGACCAAUCUCCGCAUGGGGUGUUGGUGGAAAGCGUUAUGUAGUGGUUAUAGAUGGGCUCACGGCCUAUCAGCUUGUUGGUGAGGUAACGGCUCACCAAGGCGACGACGGGUAGCCGGCCUGAGAGGGUGACCGGCCACACUGGGACUGAGACACGGCCCAGACUCCUACGGGAGGCAGCAGUGGGGAAUAUUGCACAAUGGGCGCAAGCCUGAUGCAGCGACGCCGCGUGAGGGAUGACGGCCUUCGGGUUGUAAACCUCUGUUAGCAGGGAAGAAGAGAAAUUGACGGUACCUGCAGAGAAAGCGCCGGCUAACUACGUG
rnacentral:rRNA from 1 species